rnacentral:rRNA from 1 species
UACGUAGGGGGCAAGCGUUGUCCGGAAUCAUUGGGCGUAAAGCGAGCGUAGGCGGCCCGAUAAGUCUGCUGUAAAAGUCAACGGCUCAACCGUUGAAAGCCGGUGGAUACUGUCGGGCUAGAGUUCGGAAGAGGCAAGUGGAAUUCCUGGUGUAGCGGUGGAAUGCGCAGAUAUCAGGAGGAACACCAAUAGCGAAGGCAGCUCGCUGGGACGUUACUGACACUGAGGCGCGAAAGCGUGGGGAGCGAACAGG